rnacentral:misc_RNA from 1 species
GAUGAAGAACGCAGCGAAAUGCGAUACGUAAUGUGAAUUGCAGAAUUCAGUGAAUCAUCGAAUCUUUGAACGCAUAUUGCGCUCUCUGGUAUUCCGGAGAGCAUGCUUGUUUGAGUAUCAGUAAACACCUCAACUUCCAUAUCUUUUUUGAAAUGGGAGUUGGACUUGAGUGAUCCCAACGCUUUUCCUCACCGAAAAGUGGCGGGUUACUUGAAAUGCAGGUGCAGCUGGACUUUUCUCUGAGCUAUAAGCAUAUCUAUUUAGUCUGCCUAAAAAACAGAUUAUUACCUUUGCUGCAGCUAACAUAAAGGAGAUUAGUUCUUGUGCUGACUGAUGCAGGAUUCACAAAGACGGCUUCGGCCGACUUUGUAAACUCGAUCUCAAAUCAAGUAAGACUACCCGCUGAACUUAAGCAUAUCAAUAAGCGGAGGA